rnacentral:rRNA from 1 species
CCUACGGGAGGCAGCAGUGGGGAAUAUUGCGCAAUGGGGGCAACCCUGACGCAGCCAUGCCGCGUGUGUGAAGAAGGCCUUCGGGUUGUAAAGCACUUUAAGUGGGGAGAAAGGCCCGUUGGUUAAUAGCCAGCGGGAUUGAUGUUACCCACAGAAUAAGCACCGGCUAACUCCGUGCCAGCAGCCGCGGUAAUACGGAGGGUGCGAGCGUUAAUCGGAAUUACUGGGCGUAAAGCGCGCGUAGGCGGUUUGUUAAGUCAGCUGUGAAAGCCCCGGGCUCAACCUGGGAACUGCAGUUGAUACUGGCCGACUAGAGUACGAGAGAGGGAGGUAGAAUUCCAUGUGUAGCGGUGAAAUGCGUAGAUAUAUGGAGGAAUACCGGUGGCGAAGGCGGCCUCCUGGCUCGAUACUGACGCUGAGGUGCGAAAGCGUGGGGAUCAAACAGGAUUAGAUACCCUGGUAGUCCACGCCGUAAACGAUGUCUACUAGCCGUUGGGAGACUUGAUUUCUUAGUGGCGCAGCUAACGCAAUAAGUAGACCGCCUGGGGAGUACGGCCGCAAGGUUAAAACUCAAAUGAAUUGACGG